CACGUAGUUAGCCGGUGCUUCUUCUUCCGGUACCGUCAUCCAUCUGAGGUAUUAGCCCAGACGAUUUCGUUCUGGCCGAAAGAGCUUUACAACCCGAAGGCCUUCUUCACUCACGCGGCAUGGCUGGAUCAGGCUUGCGCCCAUUGUCCAAAAUUCCCCACUGCUGCCUCCCGUAGGAGUCUGGGCCGUGUCUCAGUCCCAGUGUGGCUGAUCAUCCUCUCAGACCAGCUACCGAUCGUCGCCUUGGUAGGCCAUUACCCCACCAACUAGCUAAUCGGACAUCGGCCACUCCAAUAGCGCGAGGUCUUGCGAUCCCCCGCUUUCCACCGUAGUGCGUAUGCGGUAUUAGCACAUCUUUCGACGCGUUAUCCCCCACUACUGGGCAUGUUCCGAUGCGUUACUCACCCGUUCGCCACUCGCCACCAGGGUUGCCCCGUGCUGCCGUUCGACUUGCAUGUGUAAAGCAUGCCGCCAGCGUUCAAU
rnacentral:rRNA from 1 species